ensembl:lncRNA
GGGGGGGUGGUGAGGGUACCUGUCUGGUACAGGUACCUCCACCACACUCCCCCCUCUCUCCCUGGCCUGUCUCCCCUUGUCUGGUACAGGUACCCCCACCACACUCCCCCCUCUCUCCCUGGUCUGUCUCUCCUCCUGCACCCAGGCACUGUUGGGGCGAGUGACUCUGACCUUAAAAUGGCUAGGCCCAAGUACUUAUAUAUUAGAUUUUUUUCUUGUGCAUUUUGCCUCAUGACUCCUGCAUACUUUGUUGACUACAAACUUUCUAUCCCAACCAUGGG